CACAAGUGAUUAAUCGGUCUGACAAGUUAACAUGAUGAAUAGGUAUUAUUCGAUUCAGCCACCCAACGAGUAGCGAUUAACUGGCAAGUUAACUAAUUAAUCGGGCGAAUUCUUGAACAGUGCUUUUCGCUGCUAUGCUCUUAGAUGUGCAUGUGUAGGAUGAACUUGACUAGUCAUAAUUGCUAAAACUGGUCCACAACUAAAUUUGGAAAAAGGCUAAGUUCUACGUAGUCUAAUCACUCCUUCCCUCUUAACAUACUUUCGAUCCUACAAGGAGGGAAGGGUUUCUCCCUGUACGGUCGGAGAAGGGAGGCGCGGCAGUGGCGGGGCGGUUCGGGGGCGGGAGGAAUGCCCGAAAACGCGGACCCCGGGCCUCCCCGCCGUCUAGCACGCUCACCAAGCCCUGCACGCCACCCGCCAUCGUCGGGAGAGGAGCCUCGAGGUCGUCGGUCCGAUGUCAGGAUGUCGCCGCGCGCCCGACAUCAGCUCUGCGCACCACCCCCCAAGAGCGAGCUUGGGCCCCGCGCCCCCGGCAGCCGGCACGAAGGCCAGCACCGGGGUUUAACAGGGAAGGUGUGGGCAAGCGACGAGGCGGGGACGGAGACGUGUGCAUGGACGGGGAGCGGCACGCCGCAGGGUAAUCCAGCGGCUCCCCGGAGAUCGCAGCAGCCAGCACCCAGCAGGUCCCCGAAGCGAUAAGGGAGGCCAGCCACCCGCGCAGCUGCGACGGCGAGCUCCUCCUCGACCGCCAGGUCCGUCCAGGAGGGGGCGUCCGUCGUCGGUGCAUCGCAUCCGCGGGGAGGGGGUGCACCUGGGGCCAUCGGGGUCANNN
rnacentral:lncRNA from 1 species